UACGGAGGGUGCAAGCGUUGUUCGGAAUCACUGGGCGUAAAGGGCGUGUAGGCGGUCCGCUAAGUCUGAUGUGAAAGCCCGGGGCUCACCCCCGGAAGGGCAUUGGAAACUGGCGGACUCGAGUCUCGGAGAGGAAGGUGGAAUUCCUGGUGUAGCGGUGAAAUGCGUAGAUAUCAGGAGGAAUACCGGUGGCGAAGGCGGCCCUCUGGACGAUGACUGACGCUGGAGACGGCGAAAGCGUGGGGAGCAAACAGG
rnacentral:rRNA from 1 species